GAUAAAAUAAACGAAUAUCACGGCCCAGGCCAUGUGUAAAUUCACAACAAAUCUAUGGAUUCCACAUGGCCUGGGCCGUGAUAUUCGAAUUUUAUC
rnacentral:sRNA from 1 species